rnacentral:ncRNA from 1 species
AAAGUGAUGCGGAAAGGAAGAGUAGUUCCUCUGAAGGCUGCAGAGAGUGUCCGGCUGGUGAAAGGACAUGCGGGAAGCGGAACGAACAUGGUCCUGGAGUCGCGUGGCCAAGCGUAAUGGAUGAGGCCAUGACGGGGGCGCCCGUUACAGCGCAAGGGUAUGUCAGUACCUGAUGAGGCAGAGCCUGUGAGGACUCUGUGAAGAUAGGUGGUAACACGAGCACUCUCGUCCUGUUG